rnacentral:rRNA from 1 species
GACGAACGCUGGCGGCGUGCUUAACACAUGCAAGUCGAACGAGUGGCGAACGGGUGAGUAAUACGUGGGUAACCUGCCCUCUUUUUGGGAUAAGCCUUGGAAACGGGGUCUAAUACCGAAUAAAGGGGGAUGGGCUCGCGGCCUAUCAUCUUGUUGGUGGGGUGAUGGCCUACCAAGGCGGUGACGGGUGGCCGGCCUGAGAGGGUGACCGGCCACAAUGGGAGUGAGAUACGGCCCAGAGUCCUACGGGAGGCAGAAGUGGGGGAUAGUGCACAAUGGGGGAAAGCCUGAUGCGGGGACGCCGAGUGGGGGAUGAGGGCGUUCGGGUUGUAAACCGCGUUCGCAAGCGAACGGGUAGGUGGAGAAGAAGCGCCGGCUAACUACGUGCCAGCAGCCGCGGUAAUUC